AUUGAACGCUGGCGGCAUGCCUUACACAUGCAAGUCGAACGGCAGCACGGGUGCUUGCACCUGGUGGCGAGUGGCGAACGGGUGAGUAAUACAUCGGAACACGUCCUGUAGUGGGGGAUAGCCCGGCGAAAGCCGGAUUAAUACCGCAUACGAUCUACGGAUGAAAGCGGGGGACCUUCGGGCCUCGCGCUAUAGGGUUGGCCGAUGGCUGAUUAGCUAGUUGGUGGGGUAAAGGCCUACCAAGGCGACGAUCAGUAGCUGGUCUGAGAGGACGUCCAGCCACACUGGGACUGAGACACGGCCCAGACUCCUACGGGAGGCAGCAGUGGGGAAUUUUGGACAAUGGGCGAAAGCCUGAUCCAGCAAUGCCGCGUGUGUGAAGAAGGCCUUCGGGUUGUAAAGCACUUUUGUCCGGAAAGAAAUCCUUGGCUCUAAUACAGUCGGGGGAUGACGGUACCGGAAGAAUAAGCACCGGCUAACUACGUG
rnacentral:rRNA from 1 species